AUACGGAGGGUGCAAGCGUUACUCGGAAUCACUGGGCGUAAAGCGCGCGCAGGCGGGCUGAUAAGUUGGAUGUGAAAGCCUACGGCUCAACCGUAGAACUGCAUCCAAAACUGUCAGUCUAGAGUGUGGGAGAGGAAGAUGGAAUUAGUUGUGUAGGGGUAAAAUCCGUAGAGAUAACUAGGAAUACCAAAAGCGAAGGCAAUCUUCUGGAACACUACUGACGCUGAGGCGCGAAAGCGUGGGGAGCAAACAGGAUUAGAAACCCCGGUUAGUCC
rnacentral:rRNA from 1 species